UGUCUUCAAUACAGCCCUUUAAGUUAUCCCACGUGGUCCAACUAAUUUCAAAAGCCCAGGGACUGUCAGUUCCCUGGGACAGAGUCUAGGCCCUGCCACAGAGUGACAAUGGAGGCAUGAAGGGCAAAGCCCCAUAGCACACCCCAGCAUUGUGGUUUCAACUGCAGGCUGGGAGAGUGCUGUCCGGACCACCAGCCCCAGUGCUUCUUCCCUUCUUCCCUGGUCAUGGAGCCCUCACGUUUUUGGCUGGACACAAGAAGCUGAGCUGGGUGAGGACAAGGGCUUCAUCUGUGUUGUUUGCUGCUGGGUCUCCAGUGCCCGCCGUGCCUGGCACACAGCACAGGACAGCUCUGGAAGAAUAUGCAAAAACCUGGGGAGAGAGGUUGCUUCCAGUUCCUGGAGAGGAAAGGUUUGUG
rnacentral:lncRNA from 1 species